AUGUAAGGCAAUCUGUCUUUAAGUAGGGAUAAAUUACUCUUAAAAAAAUGAAUCCUAGAUAUUUUUCCCUUUAAGUCAAGUGUCUUGU
rnacentral:pre_miRNA from 1 species